UUCAGGAUUAAUUUCUUGGUCACAACCUGCCACUCGGUCUUUCCAAUUAUUCUUAGGUCCCCAGAACCAAGAAUUCGAGAAAGGCAACUGUAUAUAUUGAAAUAUAGAAAUAAAAAUCAUUAGAAAUCUCCAUUUUCCUGGUAGUGGCUUCCCUGCCUCUGUCCCAUCUUCCGCCACUUCAGGCCAGAGUUUGCAACAACCUGUAAGGCACAAAUUGUGUUUCCAGCGAGGCUUCUGGUCCUUGUUUUCUGACUGCCUGGCCAUUUCUGACAGGAUUUAGCCUCUUUUGAGGCUUCCUCCAAUCUCUGCGGAGCCUUCAGGGUGGCUGUGCUUGAGGGAAGCAAGUUCAAAUCCUCCAGAGAAAUUUUUCUCCAUUUCCACAGAUGGUUCCUGGACAGGAAGGAAAAGAAGAUGGAGAAACGACCGUCUCUGGAGACGUCGAAGCCUUUAUGGGGCAGGGAAACAAUGAGAGAGGCCUUUCCUCCGACUCCUAUACGCAUCAUCCCUGUCCUCCCCUUUCCCCUCAGAUACGCUCCUCUUUCCUGCCCUUGCCGGGAAUGCUGGCACUUUGCACAGAAUCCAUUAGAGGGCGCUCUCAGCUGCAGGAGGGAACUGAGCAUGCGCCGGCUUGUUCCGCGGGCGCAAGGCACGUGUUGCCCGACGAUCUUGCCAAAAGAGGUUGGGGGCGCAUCUUGCCCUUCUUCCCCCGUUGUGGCGGGGCGGGGCUUUUGCGGGAGGCGCAGAGGCUGCCGGGAAGCCUUGCGUGGACGCGGAUGGCGACGAGACUCCCGAGUUCCAUGCAGAAACUAGAGUCAUCUCAGCAACCUUCCUAGCAACAAAAAGUUAACUCUUGGGUGAAGGGCCUGGAUAGCCUUUGUGGUCAGUUCUGCAGCUACAGGAAUAUUCGUAUGAAUUGAAGGGUGUUUGGAGAUUCACAAGAUUCUUCCGACCUAUCUGGAAUUUCCUUCCAGGGCAGACAAAGGAUGCAGAAACAACCAUUAGCAAGUGAGGGUGUUGUGGAAAAAACCACGAUGCUUACAUCAGAAGACAAGACCACGAAGGGUUGGAGAAAACAGGCUUUAUUUGUGCACAAUGGUUCAGAGCAUUCACAUGACAAAUUCUGAACCUUGAGCUAUUCUCAGAGAGUAAUUCUUAUAGCAUUAACCACCCACGCCUUAGCCUUAGGGUGGCUCUUAUCUACCUUUGACACACUAAAACAGAGAAGUUUAUAUCUUGAAGCUACAUAAGUAAAAGGAGAAGUUGACACAAACGGUUGUCUUACCACACCUUUCUGCACGGGUGCUAUCUUACAACAUCUGUGACUUUUAGUUGACACUGACACUUCUUGUAAAAUGGUUUCUACAUAGCAUGAACACAUCUCUAUAAUUAUGACACACAGAUUAUAUGAUUUAGGUUACAUUGCACAGCCAAACUUAAUAUUAUCUAUUAACUAUUAUCAGCAACAAGCAUUUCUGUUAAGAUAUAGAUAUAUUUUGAUGAACUUUGCCUGCCCACCUCAAGGGAAUUGGAAAAGGCCCUUCUGCUGUAGAGCCUGGCAGCUAUUAGAAGAUCUGGGGAAGAAUUGGGCAGCAGAUCCUGGAGGAGAAAACCAUCACAUUUUCAGAGGUUUAGCCCUGGAACCUCAGUAGCAUCAAAUACCAGGAGGCUGAGGUCCCCGAGGACUUUGCAGCCGACUCCACAACUUUUGUAAUCAACGGUUGAGACCAGAAAAACACACCAAAGUGCAAAUGCUGGCCCUGGUUGUUAUGCAGCAGCUCCUGAGUCUUCUGCCCCCAGAAAUAGAGAGCUGGGUUUGGGAGUAUGGAGCAGAGACCAGCUCCCAAGCGUUGGCCCUGGCAGAAGGCUUCCUCCUGAGUCAGGCAGAGGAGCAGAAGGAGCAGGUUGAAUUGCAGGUGAGGGAUCUUCGUCGUGGGAGUCCAGAAGGGAAUAAAGAACGUUUUUAAAUUCUUCGCCCCUCCCUUUCUUUCUUACGUUCCGGACUCUCUGAUGGACACUCAAGAAAUUGAAGUUGUGUUUAGAGACUAAGAAUCCAUUUCUUGUUGUAUAAUGCCCAUUAAUUUGUUUUAUUUUCUCCUGUCUCCUGUUUCAAGUCCUUCACUAUGGAUAUCAGAGAUAGUAUGGAAAGGAGGAAUCCAUCCAAUCCCCCGCGGGAGGUUUUUUUUCCAGGAGGAUCUCUCAGGAAGAUCCAAGUCAGAACACCUCAAAUGGAAGGUCUUGUGUCCUUCGAGGAGAUGGCUGUGUAUUCCUCCGAGGAGGAGGGGUCUUAGCUGGAUGUUCACCAAAAAAGCACUGCAUUGUGAAGUCAUGCUGGAAAAAUCAUAGGAAUGUGGACUGUCUGGCAAAGUAUGGUGAGUUGACUGUGCCAAGAUGGCCAUGGCGAGGUGGUUGCGGCAAGUUGGCUGUGUCUGGUUGUCCCAUUUUGACGUGCGAGGUGGAUGUUGCUGUUAUAAGCAAGAGAGGAAGAGAAAAGUUUGCUUCUGAUGGAUAUCUCUGUGUAUUCGAUAAGCUGAGUGAAGUUGAUUCUUCCCGUUACAUUUUGGCGCUGUGAUCAGUAUAGAAAAUGCAAGGCUAGAAUUCACACCAGAAACAGAGAAGUAAUAAAGAGGAUCAACAGUCAUUCCCAUUGGCCUUCAACAGUGAAUGUGGAAGUGGCAGGAUUUGUGACUAGGAUGAAGCGUCGAGCUGAAGAGACAGUGAAAGGGAUAUCCCAAAUUAUUAAUACCUGUCUGGCCAAGUGAGCCCAGCGGUCUAUGCUGCAGUACCUAGAACUUCAGCAUUGCAAAAAACUAUCCAGCGGACAUGAAAACAAAUGCAGGCAGCACCUUUGGACACAGUGAGCUUGGAUUACCUCGUAUUACCCAGGGAAUACAAUAUCUAUUGACCAACUCCAGGCGUAGAAGAGCCAUUCUUACUUGGCGAUUUCGGAGAGGGAUUGAGGAGGAUCCUAAUAUUUGGCAGAAGUAGUUGCUUGUACAUUCUGCAGUCAUCUGACAACUGGAUGGCACUUUUGCAAUUGUUCCCAAGCUCUUUGCUCAGGUUUAUGUGAUCCUAGCAAAGAACUAUGGAGGUGUGCAUCCUGUGUUGUAUGCACUUCUGCCAAACAAACUGCGCUACAUAUAAAUUGCUGUUUGAAUUUAUGAAAAUCCUGGUGGCUUAUAUCCAACCACAGACCAUUCUCUGUUUGUUCCACCUCACCCAGAACGUGAGAAAGCAUUUGGUAGCAAUUGGAGCUGCUCAUGAAUUCAACACCAAUGCAGAGUUUGCUGUGAAGGCAAAAAUGGUUUCAGUGUUGGCAUUUGUGCCUGUCCCGGUCUUGGAAGAAUAUGUUGUUGCUCUAGAAGAAUAUCUGCCAGGAGAGCUGCAACCUCUACUGAACUGGUUCGAGGACAGCUACAUAGGUUAUCCAGGCAGGAGAGGGCAAGGAAGACAAACACCGCUGUAGUCAAUCGCAGCUACUUCUGGAGGGAACUGAAAUCCCCCUUCCCUCUCCACAGGGGGGAAAGUACUUUAGCAGCUUGUGAAGGUACAUAAAGCAAUUAGGAUUUAAGAGAGGUAGAUCUCACCCAAUCCUUUCCACGCUGCUUUGAAGUUGCCAGAUGGUGAGUGUGACUUCGGCUGUCUGCAGCCUAGUGAUGAGCCGUAUUGGUCUUUCGUCCACCAGUUUGGUUUGGAAGGAGCGGGAGAGCUACCACUCUCCUGCAAUCCAGCAAGAGCACCUCCUUGCUGGUCACCUCUACGGGGCGACUUUCGACCCUUUUCAGGGUUCCCCAGCGAUGCAAAACUGGAUGUUUGCGAGACCGCCUACUAUCUCAUAGUUCCCUUCAUCUGGUUAGAUCCCACA